GGGCACUGGUUUGGCACCAGACCUCCCAGAGCAGGACAUGUAAAAGGCACAAAAUAAUUGCCAGUGUCCUCCAUGGCCACGAUGAUGAUGAUGAUGAUUUAUGGAACUUAAUGAUAAGAGCUGCACUCUGCAGCGUCAUUUCACCUUUGGCUGUUUCAAGAAUCUUACUUCCUGUCAAUCAUCUGGUAGCAUCUCUUGAGCCAGCCGAUGCCGGG